AGCUAAAGUAAAUAUUUGAUCUGUAUAACCUCAAUAAUAUGGAUUGAGGGUCUCUACCAGGAACCAUAAAAUCCUGACUACAAAACUUUGCUUCAUUUUU
rfam:Lysinibacillus sp. F5 Contig43, whole genome shotgun sequence.